rnacentral:piRNA from 1 species
UAAGCUAGGAAGAGUCUUGCUUUGGGAACC